GCAGGGCCGGUGCUUGGAUUUUUAGGUACAUAGGCGAAGAUGCAUUUUUCCGCCCCCCCCCAAAAAAAACAUCUUCACCUAUGUGCCUCUUAACCAGCCCCUCUCCCCUCCCCGACCAUUAGUGGUCCCUUCCCUGUCCCUCAGUGUUCUUCUCCCCCCUCUUUUCCCUGUCUCUUGGUGUUUCUCUCCCAUUCCCUCCCUGUCCCUUGGUGCACCCCACACCCCUUUAGUGGUCACACUCCCCUUCCUGGUGUGCCUACUACCUCUAUUGUUGCAUUGCCGAGCGGAGCAGAUCCCCUAAAGGAGCUUCAGUUUUCUGUACCUGGCCGGACUGACAGGGAGUACUCUCUCUUUGAGCACCUCCUGUCAGUCUGGCCAGGUACAGGAAACAGAAGCUCCUGUACCGCGCUCUGCUCCGCUACACUCUGUACACACUGACAGUCACACACUCAAUGACAAACACACAGACGUCACUGACAGACACAGACUCAUUGAUUUGUCACACACUCAUUCAUUGACACUGACAGACCCACACUGAUUGACACUCAUUGACAGACACACUGAUAGUCACACACAGGCUCAAUGACAAACAUACUCUCACUGAUUUGACAGACACACACUCAUACACUGACAAACACACUCAUCAUACACUGACAGACACACUUAUACACUCACAUGCAGACACACUCAUACAAUCACUCACAGACACACACACACAGACGCACUCACACACACACUCAGUCACACACACACGCUGUCACUCACAGACACACACAGACGCACAGUCACUCACAGACACACACUCUGUCACUCACAGACACACACACAGACGCUCUGUCACUCACAGACACACACACUCUGUCACUCACACACACUGUCACUCACAGACACA